UACGGAGGAGGCAAGCGUUAUCCGGAAUUAUUGGGCGUAAAGCGUCCGCAGGUGGCACUUCAAGUCUGUCGUCAAAGACUGGGGCUUAACCCUGGAAAGGCGGUGGAAACUGAAGCGCUAGAGUGCGGUAGGGGUAGAGGGAAUUCCCGGUGUAGCGGUGAAAUGCGUAGAGCUCGGGAAGAACAUCGGUGGCGAAAGCGCUCUGCUGGACUGCAACUGACACUCAGGGACGAAAGCUAGGGGAGCGAAUGGG
rnacentral:rRNA from 1 species